rnacentral:pre_miRNA from 1 species
AUCACCUGGGGAUCUUGUUAAAGUGCAGACCCUGAUUCAGCUGGUCUGGAAGGGGCCCGAGAUUCUGCACUUACAAUGAGCUCCCAGGUGCUGUUCA